UGGCACUUAAUCAUAUUUAAAGUUUAUGAAAUUUAACGUUUUUAAUUAUAUCAAAUAUGGCAUUUGAUGCGAAAAUGAUGACAAUAAUGAAAGAUAUAGGUUGCACAGAUGGAUUCCACAUUCCAGUUGCUAACGAGGAAAAUAAAUUGCUUGAGAACCAGAUAAAAGAACUUCUCCAGAAAAAAGCAGAAUUAANUAGUAAUAGAUGAAGAAGGAAAUAAUUAUGUAGAUAUGCUACAAAAAACUCUUAAUAAUAAACAAAAUUAUCAAACACAAAAUGAAAAUUUAAUUGUUGCUCGUCGCAAACAAUGCGAAACAGAACAACAAAUGUUAAAAUCAGCAGAGAAAGAAAAUGAAAAUCUUUCCCGCGACAAUCGUAAAGCUUUGAAAACAACAAAUAAUUUAAAUAUAGAAGAAAACAAAU